rnacentral:tRNA from 1 species
GGACAGGUGGCCGAGUGGUCGAUGGCGCACGCUUGGAAAGCGUGUGGGCGUUAACGCGUCCCGUGGGUUCGAAUCCCACUCUGUCCGCCA